AGUGUGCCUCGGCCCCUUGUUCAUGGCCCUCGGCAGCAGAUGCCUUUCCUUUCUCUCAUGCGCACAGGCCAGGCCAGCCCAGCCCACCAAGCCCCCUCCCGAGCCCCCUCUUGGAGGAGCCUCCUCUACACGUAGGGCUCUCCCUGGGGGUCUUCCUUUGAGUGUGGGGUUUAUGUGCACUGAUUUCUAAGAUCAAAAGGCUAAGACCUUGCCAUCCAUUCAUUCAUUCAGCAAGGGGGGCGGGGGUGCUGGGAGGAAGCAGGAGGACAGAAGUUUUAAGCAGUCACAAAAUAUAAUGAAUGAAAACAAAACCAAAAAGAGGACUAAGGGAAGGGAGGUGGAAAAAUACCAAACCCCUGUUCUACCCUCUUCUGAGACCCUUCGCUGGCAGGUGCCCUUGUAAACAGUGAAACAGCCGUCCCAGGGCCUGCGAGGUAGUGCCACUGUCUUAAUCGGUCCGCAGGUUACUUCUCAGAGGGUGUUUCCAUGGAUUCUACUGGGUCCUCACCUGUUUCUGGGCAACCUCACCCCAGCUUCCUGCCUUGUGAUAAAGAUCUUUUUAUUUCUUUAUUUUGAGCAGUCACUUUCCCCUAAAAGAUUAAUAUGUUGUUCUCACCAAGAGGCCCAGCUCUAGCUAUAUACUACCUGUUUGUAGUGGUUGAAAGUUUAAUAUCUCUUUAGCAUCCCUUACAAAAUAUUUUGGGAGGUUUAGUUUAAAUUCAGGCACAGCCUGUGGAAGGCUCAGACGCAAGGCUAGGGCGCCAUCUCCUGGUCGAUUUUGAAUAUGACAAAAUUGAACUUGGAUUGAGACUCGUGUUAAUAGAGGUGAAAAUCAGCUGAUUUAAGUUAUAGGUGGAAAGGCGUGCGCAGAAACACAUGUAACUAAUAAAGCACUUUGUCAGAAUCUAUAAAGAACUCUUACAAUUUAAUAUAAAAAAUCUUAGCGAUUGGGCUGUUAAAAAAUCAGUAGAAAAAUAAGCAAGAGGCUUAAAGGGGCAAUUUCUAAAAGAGGAUAUCAAAUGCACCAUAAAUAUAUGAAAGAUGUUCAACUUUUUAUUCUUCGAGACUACUGGUGGAGGACAAGGCGGAGGAAAGCCCAGGAAGCCUGUAUACGCUGUAAAGACCCUUUCAGGUAAUUCAGAUUUUACCCACUAGAGGGCGUGCCACUCACUUUAGUUGUUUUAAAUUUGCCCAAGGGAAAUAUGCAAAAUAAAACCGCAAUGAGAUGCACUGCACUGCAGCCUGCCAAGUUGGCAAAAAUGGGGGCAGCGGGUACUCUCAUACACUGCUGGAGAAAGUGCAAAUUGCUAUACCUUUGAAAAAUUGUUUGGCAUUAUCUAGAAAACAGUUAACGCAUAGGCGUAUUCUAUGUCAUAGCAACUUCACUUCUUGAUAUAUGUUCAACAAAAAUGUGAGUCCAUGGACACUAAGAAGCAUACAAGAUUGCUUAUAACAGCAUUAUUGGCAGGUAAUAGCAAGAACUGGAAACAAUUCAAAUGCCCACGAAGAAUAGGCUGGAAAAAUAAAUGGUAGUAUAUUGAUGCAGUGGAAUAUCUAACGGAAAAACAGACAAGCCAACAGAAUCUGCAGCUACAAACGGCAACAAUAUGGAUGGAUGGAUUUUAUGAACAUAAUGUUGAGCAAACGAAGCCAGGUAUAAAAUAAUCAUAAUCAUAUAUAAAGGUCAAAACAGAAAAAACAUUUUAUAGUGCUAGAUGUCAGGAUAAUGGUACAUUUAGUCCUAGAGAAUGAAGGCAGAGAUUGGGAAUAUAUUUAAAAUAAAUUUUAAAAAUAAAUUUAACACUUCAAUUAUAAAGUUUAAAAAAGUUACAGAUGGAAUGGUAGAAAGGGAUUUCCAACCAGUAGAAUUAGGCAAGAGUGAGGGAAGAAAUCGAAAACUUGGGAAAGAAGAAAAGCAGGUGUAGGGUGCAAAAAACGAAACCAAAAAAACAAACCCCAAAACACCUCCAGGUAAUUCGGAUUCUCCCCACUAGAGGGCGUGCCUCCCUCUCCUCGCCCUGAGUGUUCUUGCCGUACGCAAACAUUUGCUUCGAUGUUGUUUUUUCCCUCCCUUGAAUUAUUAGAGACACAGACUCACUCUGUCACCCAGGCUGGAGUGCAGUGGUGCAGUUAUAGCUCACUAUAGCCUCGACCUCCUGGACUCAAGUGAUCCUCCCACCUCAGUCUCCCGAGUAGUCAGGACUACAGGUAUGGCAGGCUAAGUUUUAAAAAUUUUGUAGAGAUGGGAUCUCACUAUGUUGCCUAGGCUGGUCUCCAAAUCCUGGCCUCAAGCAGUCCUCCCUCCAUGGCCUCCUAAAGUGCUCGGAGUAGAAUUGAGAGCCACCGUACCUGGCUGCUCCAAAAUGCUUUUUUAUGCCUCCCCUACUUAGUGUUUUACACUGUUCCACAGAAUAUCGGAAUCUAGAAUUUGUUCCAGCAUAAAGUGAAAGAUAUGAAUCAACUUUCAUUUUUCCUCAUCAAUUCAUCCAUAUUUUUAGCAGAAUUUAUUAAAUAUGAUUCCUCUUUGGUUUUGCUGUCUUCUGUUCAUUGAAUAGAAUUUUUUCUAUAAUUUGGGAAUUUCUGGCAUAUUUAUUG
rnacentral:lncRNA from 1 species